CCUACGGGUGGCAGCAGUGGGGAAUAUUGCACAAUGGGGGAAACCCUGAUGCAGCGACGCCGCGUGAGUGAAGAAGUAUUUCGGUACGUAAAGCUCUAUCAGCAGGGAAGAAAAUGACGGUACCUGACUAAGAAGCCCCGGCUAACUACGUGCCAGCAGCCGCGGUAAUACGUAGGGGGCAAGCGUUAUCCGGAUUUACUGGGUGUAAAGGGAGCGUAGACGGAAGCGCAAGUCUGGAGUGAAAUGCCAUGGCUUAACCAUGGAAUUGCUGUGGAAACUGUGCAGCUAGAGUGCAGGAGAGGUAAGCGGAAUUCGUAGUGUAGCGGUGAAAUGCGUAGAUAUUAGGAGGAACACCAGUGGCGAAGGCGGCUUACUGGACUGUAACUGACGUUGAGGCUCGAAAGCGUGGGGAGCAAACAGGAUUAGAUACCCCGGUAGUC
rnacentral:rRNA from 1 species